GAUGAAUCAUGACUGUGUUAAUCAAUACUUAGAACUUAAUCUGAAAACUUAGUUGAAAUUAAAUAUUGGAAUUGUCAAAACAUUGGAGUUGUAAACCAGAGAGAGAGAGAGAGAGAGGAGUCCCUAUGAUGUUAAAAUGAAAAAAAAAGGAUUAGAUGGGAAUUUUGAAUCUGAUACAGGAAUAUGAAAACACAAUGAGGUUUGCUAUAAGCUGGACAUUCUAUGUCGAAGAAUGUCAUAAGACUACUUAAUUCCUUAGUGCAUGCUAAUGGGGGAACGGGGAUCAAACUUUAUCAGGAAAUGAAAAUGUGGAUUGGAAGUGCGAUGAGGAGGAAGGAGAUCUAGGAUAUUGCUUCUUGAAUAGGGGAAAAGUUUCAGCAGUGUGCUUGAAAUGCAAAUAGUUUGUUGGACUUGCUGACAAAGGAUAUGUGCAAACUCAUCUCUUGGGGAGAUGCGAUUGUUGGAAUCUCAUUUGGAUAUUCUUUUCUUUUUUUUAAUAUCAACAUCUUGAAGGUAACUUGGAUUGCCAUUCUAUUUUUUGCUUAAUUGAAUUCCUAUCUUCUAUAUUGAAUCUGGAAGCAGAGAUCAACAUAUGCUUCGCAUACAUCAAAUUUACACUUAUACUGAUAGGUAAAUUAACCUUUGCGGAUGCAAGCAUUUCGGAUGUACAAAUGAGACAUAUCCAAAGGUUUUAGGAUCCUCUUUAUGGGUCCCAUUGGCAGUAGCUUGUCAUGUAUCAAGAUUGUAAAAUAAUAGGAACCUGGAUAACAAACUAGAUGAAUAUCUUUCCUGAGAAAGUUUUCAAUAGGCACUUCAGCAUGCUGCUAUGAAGAUCUUGUGAGCUAGGUUGCUUCUCCCCCUUUUUGCUUUAUAUUAUUUACUAGUACUCCCUGCAAUGCACAUGCAGGGCAUUGACAGCCAUGGCUAUGAUAUGCAACAGUAAGAAAGGAAUCAAAGGAAUGGAAGUAUCAGGUCUCCAAAUUGUGGAGGUUUUUCCCUCUCUCCUUUUCCUCUCUCUUCUCAUGGCAUUGGGAAUCUAAUAAAGGCAUGAGCAUGCUCUCUCAACCAAAAAAUGUCCAGCUACAAAGCUAGAGUCCUGCUGCACAGGGAGAGUCCAGCCAAAAAAGGCUUUUCCCAUUUAAAUAGUAGAGAGAGAUUUAUUUUUAUAUCGCCAUGCUGCUGUAGCUUCCUCAUCAUGGUUGGAGUUCUUGGUUAGCAUGCUUCAGACAGGCACACUAGAAGUUCCCAUACAAUGGUUAGGCCUUUUCAACCUCUCAUGCAUCACGUGUCUCUUCAAGGUGGAUUGCUGUUGUGUGUGGUUUGUUGAGCACUUCCUAAAGUUGCUUUUUUCGGGCAUGCCUGCAGGGGUGGGGUUGGCAUGGUGAUUUAGCUUUUGAAUUAUCUACCAGACCACUCUUAAUUAGUUGAGUAACUACAUCUCAAAAUUUUUCCUACUUUUCAAAUGGCCAACCAAAUCAGUUGCCAUGCAUUUUACAUAAUCACCUGUAAUGUGAGCUGCGAUAUACUUUGCAUUAUUGUCAAUGGCAGUAUCCCUCUAUGUCAGAUGUUGCCGAAAAAUGUCUUUUUGAGUAGCGAGCACCAUUUCUGCAGUGCAAUAACAUCAAAUAUUAAUGAGAAUUUUCAUUGAUGCAAACUGCAGAAAUACUAGGAUGAUUGCAUGCAUAAUGAAUUUCUCUUCUUUAAAUAUGUCUGUUUUGCUCCUUUAUUUUAAACGUACUAUGCCCUUGCGGUGGUUUAACCAGUGCAUUAGUCUUCAAUGAAUUACUUAAUUACAUAUCCUCGUAUAAGCCUAAUGGUCUCUUUUAGAGGAUGGCAAGCCCAAGAGUAUCUGUUUGGGCAUGCAAACAGAAUUUAGAGGUUUAGUGGACCAGAAAUGCAGCCUCAUUAUUGCAAAUCUAAACCUUUUGAGUGCUUUUGUAAGCUUUUCCUUAGCAUCAUCCAUUUGCCCUAUCUUCUGAGAUUACUUUAACAAAGGAAAAGGCUUCUACUGAUGAUGUACUUAAAAAUAUUUGCUGAAUGGGGCUUGAAAUAGAACAGCUGAUUGGCAUGCGAAUGCAUCUUGAGACCUUCAUUGGUCAUCCAGUGUCUGGCCAAAAUGAAAUUCU